rnacentral:lncRNA from 1 species
CUGAAGGCUUGCAUUGUGCAGUCACAUAAAGGGAGAGCUAACCAGAAAACAGCAGCUGAUGAUCUGAAGCCAGGCUGUGCUAUUGUCCGGCACACAAAUGUUCUACAAGGACCCAGACCACCAUGCAGUUCUCUGUGCACAGACUAUGGAGGUUCGGGGAGGGGGGGCAGUGGAGGGGGCCAGGGCUUUUCUCCCUUCCUUUUCUUUCUUUCCUUCCUGAAACCUUUUCCUUCCAAUCCCUCUACAGCCGCGCACAUUCAACGGCUAGCAAUUAUUCCCAUUGACCCUCCUCACUCUCCAAAUGGGGUGUGGGUCUCUGAAGGUUUUCUCUUUGUACCUGACAACCCCAUGUUGCAGGCAGGCUCCAGGGAGGAGGUGAGGGCUCAGCUCCCUGGGGACGGUGACUGGGAAUGGAGUGGCUGUGAUUUAUUUUCCAUCGAGCAAAGUCAAAGCGAGGACUCCAAGUUCCAUACGAUAGCAACCACAACAACAGCUGUCAUUGGUUAUUUAGUGUGUCAGGGUUUGCAAAGCGGUGGCAGAGAGCCUCAGAAAAGCGCUCAAAGGCCUGCGUCUGCUCCAAUCCAGGAUGGGAAACCAUCAUGAAGAUGUUGCCUUUCUUUCUUGCCAUUUAAAAGGCUUUAUCUGGCUUAAAAAAGAUACUAGUCUUCCUGCCUUCCUUCCUCAACUGGGUCUCCUCUCUGCCCACACUCUCUCUCUCUACUCUCUCUCUCUCUCUCUUCUCUCUCUUCUCUCUC